rnacentral:rRNA from 1 species
UGCCAGCAGCCGCGGUAACACGUAAGGGGCAAGCGUUGUUCGGAUUUAUUGGGCGUAAAGGGCGUGUAGGCGGUUUGCCAAGCCUGAUGUGAAAGACCCCGGCUUAACCGGGGGAACGCGUUGGGAACUGGCAGACUAGAGUGUAAGAGGGGUAGUUGGAAUUCCAGGUGUAGGGGUGAAAUCUGUAGAUAUCUGGAAGAACACCGGUGGCGAAGGCGACUUCCUGGGCCAAUACUGACGCUGAGGCGCGAAAGCGUGGGUAGCAAACAGGAUUAGAUA